UUUCCUUUUAAAAUUACAGAUAAGAGUCCUGUACAAUGUUAUGGGUUUCUGUUGCAUCACCAGCGCCCCCUACUGGCUACAAAAGCCAUCAGCUUUACUAAUUAUUUAGGAAUGUACAGCACUUGCUUUCUGUAGUUCCAAUAUUUAGGGUAUGAUAACUAUCAGUCCUUCUUGAAUUUGCCUCGAUCAAGAUAAACAUAAUUCAGAAUCAACUGCCAGUCUGUAAAAUGGACAACAGCCACUGCACCAGCUGCACCCCAUUCAACAAUAGUGGGAAUCAUAGAUUGCAAAGUACAAACGUAUUAAAAUAAUAAUUUGUAGUAAAUAGUUAUGACGUUUCAUAAUUGUACGUGUCAGAAGAGCGGGCGAUUUUUUGGUUAACAUGCUGUUGGACUGUUCAUAAAUCAAGCACUAAUUUACCAGAUUCUGGCCAUUUUGACGUAUUUUGGACCGAUCAGCUUUGUUAACUUCUGCAUCUUGGCACUCACUCAGCUUCUCCCUCCUCCGUUCGGAAAGUAAACAAACUCAAAUGGCUGUUUCAGGACCCAGGCUGCCCGUUAUUAGCCUGAUAGAAAAUUCUGGAACCGUAGAGAUUUUAUUGCUUAAUCCACAGGAUUUAAGACCGCCUACGAUGAACGGACAAACGUACAGCCAAUCAAAAUCUACCAUCCAAAAAGAGCGCGAACAUACAAACGGUUUGUUAAAUGAGCCGUUAAUUUACGUUGGCGUGGAAGAGACGGUCAAGAUUUUCUCUUUACUCAUUUCUCUGAAAAGACACCAACUGGUAAGACUUUUAUUACAAUGUUUUCUUUUAUUUAACUCAUUUGAAGGUAUACAAGAUCAAAAGCAAGACAUUGAAAAAAAUGUAUAAUUCUGUUAUUAAAAAUGGCACAUUUAUUGCUACAUUACUGUUAUAUACAGGACAGUUCUCAAUACCUACUUUAUAUAUAUAUUUAUAAAAACAAAGACAAAAUAAUAAUAAUAAUAAUAAUAAUGACAAAAAAACCGGAGGCACUCUGAAGACACAACAGCAGUAUUGUUCAUGUCCCUACUGCAACUGCAAGACACCAGGUUCUGUAAAAUUCACACACAUCUUAAUUCUGAUGGAAAUCGUGGGCAGCAAUCUUAUUUUGGCGCACAACAAUUCAUUCAAAAUGUUUUACUUCGUUGGACAUUCAAGAGUAAAUGCUUCAGGGGUAAAAAAAAACAAAAAAAAAAA